rnacentral:rRNA from 1 species
UACGUAGGGCGCAAGCGUAUCCGGAAUUAUUGGGCGUAAAGAGCUCGUAGGCGGUUUUGUCGCGUCUGCCGUGAAAGUCCGGGGCUCAACUCCGGAUCUGCGGUGGGUACGGGCAGACUAGAGUGAUGUAGGGGGAGACUGGAAUUCCUGGUGUAGCGGUGAAAUGCGCAGAUAUCAGGAGGAACACCGAUGGCGAAGGGCAGGUCUCUGGGCAUUAACUGACGCUGAGGAGCGAAAGCAUGGGGGAGCGAACAGG